rnacentral:tRNA from 1 species
UCCUCCGUGGUGUAUAGGCGCACACACGGUACCUUAAAACAGAAGUGAAGAGCAGGUUCGAAUCCUGCCGGGGGAU